GCGCUCUUAGCUCAGCUGGAUAGAGCAUGGCACUUCUAAUGCCAGGGUCGGGAGUUCGAAUCUCUCAGGGCGCGCCA
rnacentral:tRNA from 2 species